CCAAUAGCGUAUAUUAAAGUUGUUGCAGUUAAAAAGCUCGUAGUUGAACUUCGGGAUUUGCCCAUUGGUCAGGCUUAACUGUCUGUACUGGUGAGAUGAAUUCCUACCUUCUGAGGAAUCUUUAUGCCAUUAAUUUGGUGUGAGGGGGAAUCAGGACUGUUACUUUGAAAAAAUUAGAGUGUUUAAAGCAGGCUAACGUCUGAAUACAUUAGCAUGGAAUAAUAAAAUAGGACGGUUGGUUCUAUUUUGUUGGUUUCUAGGAUCACCGUAAUGAUUAAUAGGGAUAGUUGGGGGCAUUAGUAUUCAAUUGUCAGAGGUGAAAUUCUUGGAUUUAUUGAAGACUAACUACUGCGAAAGCAUUUGCCAAGGAUGUUUUCAUUAAUCAAGAACGAAAGUUAGGGGAUCGAAGACGAUCAGAUACCGUCGUAGUCUUAACCAUAAACUAUGCCGACUAGGGAUCGGACGAAGUUAAUUUUUAAAUGACUCGUUCGGCACCUUAC
rnacentral:rRNA from 1 species